AUUGAACGCUGGCGGCAUGCCUUACACAUGCAAGUCGAACGGUAACAGGUCUUCGGAUGCUGACGAGUGGCGAACGGGUGAGUAAUACAUCGGAACGUGCCUAGUAGUGGGGGAUAACUACUCGAAAGAGUGGCUAAUACCGCAUGAGAUCUACGGAUGAAAGCAGGGGAUCGCAAGACCUUGUGCUACUAGAGCGGCCGAUGGCAGAUUAGGUAGUUGGUGGGAUAAAAGCUUACCAAGCCGACGAUCUGUAGCUGGUCUGAGAGGACGAUGAGCCACACUGGGACUCGGACACGGCCCAGACUCCUACGGGAGGCAGCAGUGGGGAAUUUUGGACAAUGGGCGCAAGCCUGAUCCAUCAAUGCCGCGUGCAGGAUGAAGGCCUUCGGGUUGUAAACUGCUUUUGUACGGAACGAAAAGCCCUGGGUUAAUACCCUGGGGUCAUGACGGUACCGUAAGAAUAAGCACCGGCUAACUACGUGCCAGCCGCCGCAGUAAUAC
rnacentral:rRNA from 1 species